UACGAAGGGGGCUAGCGUUGCUCGGAAUCACUGGGCGUAAAGGGUGCGUAGGCGGGUUUUUAAGUCAGGGGGGAAAUCCUGGAGCUCAACUCCAGAACUGCCUUUGAUACUGAAGAUCUUGAGUCCGGGAGAGGUGAGUGGAACUGCGAGUGUAGAGGUGAAAUUCGUAGAUAUUCGCAAGAACACCAGUGGCGAAGGCGGCUCACUGGCCCGGUACUGACGCUGAGGCACGAAAGCGUGGGUAGCAAACAGG
rnacentral:rRNA from 1 species